rnacentral:rRNA from 1 species
AGCGAACGUUAGCGGCACGCCUAACACAUGCAAGUCGCACGAGAACAGGGGCAACCCUUAGUAAAGUGGCGCAACGGGUGCGUAACACGUAGAUAACCUGCCCUUUGGAGGGGAUAACGUUCCGAAAGGAGCGCUAAUACCGCAUACAGCAAGAGCCGGUUCGCCGGUUUUUGGCAAAGGUAGGGAUCGCAAGGACCUACCGCCAGAGGAGGGGUCUGCGGCCCGUCAGCUAGUUGGUGAGGUAAUGGCUCACCAAGGCAGAGACGGGUAGCUGGUCUGAGAGGAUGAUCAGCCACACUGGUACUGGAACAC